rnacentral:rRNA from 1 species
ACGGAGGAUCCAAGCGUUAUCCGGAUUCAUUGGGUUUAAAGGGUGCGUAGGCGGAUUUGUAAGUCAGUGGUGAAAUCCUACAGCUUAACUGUAGAACUGCCAUUGAUACUGCAAGUCUUGAGUGUGUUUGAAGUGGGCGGAAUGUGUCAUGUAGCGGUGAAAUGCAUAGAUAUGACACAGAACACCAAUUGCGUAGGCAGCUCACUAAGCCACAACUGACGCUGAGGCACGACAGCGUGGGGAUCAAACAGG